CCUACGGGAGGCAGCAGUAGGGAAUCUUCCACAAUGGGCGAAAGCCUGAUGGAGCAACGCCGCGUGGGUGAAGAAGGUCUUCGGAUCGUAAAACCCUGUUGGUAGAGAAGAAAGUGCGUGAGAGUAACUGUUCACGUUUCGACGGUAUCUAACCAGAAAGCCACGGCUAACUCCGUGCCAGCAGCCGCGGUAAUACGUAGGUGGCAAGCGUUAUCCGGAUUUAUUGGGCGUAAAGGGAACGCAGGCGGUCUUUUAAGUGUGAUGUGAAAGCCUUCGGCUUAUCCGGAGUAGUGCAUUGGAAACUGGGAGACUGGAGUGCAGAAGAGGAGAGAGGAACUUAAGGUGUAGCGGUGAAAUGCGUAGAGAUAUGGAAGAACACCAGUGGCGAAAGCGGCUCUCUGGUCUGUAACUGACGCUGAGGUUCGAAAGCGUGGGUAGCAAACAGGAUUAGAUACCCGGGUAGUC
rnacentral:rRNA from 1 species